CCAGACUCCUACGGGAGGCAGCAGUGAGGAAUAUUGGUCAAUGGAGGCAACUCUGAACCAGCCAAGUCGCGUGAAGGAUGAAGGUCUUAUGGAUUGUAAACUUCUUUUGCAAGGGAAUAAAGUGGGGGACGUGUCCUCCUUUGCAUGUACCUUGCGAAUAAGGAUCGGCUAACUCCGUGCCAGCAGCCGCGGUAAUACGGAGGAUCCGAGCGUUAUCCGGAUUUAUUGGGUUUAAAGGGUGCGCAGGCGGGAUGUUAAGUCGGCGGUGAAAUUUUGCAGCUCAACUGUAAAAGUGCCUUCGAUACUGGCUUUCUUGAGUGUGGAUGAAGUAGGCGGAAUUUGUGGUGUAGCGGUGAAAUGCUUAGAUAUCACGGGGAACUCCGAUUGCGCAGGCAGCUUACUAAACCACUACUGACGCUCAUGCACGAAGGCGUGGGGAUCAAACAGGAUUAGAUACCCUGGUAGUCCACGCAGUAAACGAUGAUUACUAGUUGUUUGCGAUACAAUGUAAGCGACUGAGCGAAAGCGUUAAGUAAUCCACCUGGGGAGUACGUUCGCAAGAAUGAAACUCAAAGGAAUUGACGGGGGCCCGCACAAGCGGAGGAACAUGUGGUUUAAUUCGAUGAUACGCGAGGAACCUUACCCGGGCUUGAAAUGCGGCGGACCGGCAGAGAGAUCUGCCUUCCCUUCGGGGCCGCCGUGUAGGUGCUGCAUGGUUGUCGUCAGCUCGUGCCGUGAGGUGUCGGCUUAAGUGCCAUAACGAGCGCAACCCUCAUCAUUAGUUACUAACAGGUCAUGCUGAGGACUCUAGUGAGACUGCCAUCGUAAGAUGCGAGGAAGGUGGGGAUGACGUCAAAUCAGCACGGCCCUUACGUCCGGGGCGACACACGUGUUACAAUGGGUGGUACAAAGGGCAGCUACCUGGCGACAGGAUGCUAAUCUCCAAAACCACUCUCAGUUCGGAUCGGAGUCUGCAACUCGACUCCGUGAAGCUGGAUUCGCUAGUAAUCGCGCAUCAGCCACGGCGCGGUGAAUACGUUCCCGGGCCUUGUACACACCGCCCGUCAAGCCAUGGAAGCCGGGGGUACCUGAAGUCCGUAACCG
rnacentral:rRNA from 1 species